UUGACCAGGCCAAAAUCCCCA
rnacentral:siRNA from 1 species